GGAAUUAAGCAAGUCCUGCUUGCCUUUUUCCCACAAGCCUGUGCUAACUGAAUGCUAAUUUUUCGAUAAACCCUACUGGGUCUAGGGGAAAUCUUUAUGAAAUGACUGUCUGACAAGAUGAUCUUAUAAGGUCUCCUAAUGUGCGUAGGAAGAGCAUUGGGUUUAGCAGUCAUUGUCUGCACUGUCAAACUUUGAAGUAGGGAAGGUAAACUUGAGACACCCUUCAAAAUGAGUCACACUAAUUGAAUAACAGUGGCUUAACACUCUUUUUGUCUCUCUCCCUUUCUCUUUUAUUAAUGGCAGACAGAUCAUAUCUGAAAGAAGCACACUCAUCCAGGUUUAACCGUGGCCCGUCAUUCUGCUGAAGGUGACAAACCACAUAGGAAUCCUGAUGCCUUUCCAGUGUGAACCUGUAGUUUUUAAUUCCUAAAGAAAUCAGGACACGAUGACUGGAUUUUAUCUCAGAUGAUCUGUAUUGAAACAUCACCAAGCGUGUUAACUGCCAUGCUGUGGACCCGACAGCUGAUCCUAUCAAAUUACAACGGGAUGCUGAGUCAGUUUCUGAGUGUAGUUAGAGCUCAGUGCCUGGCUGGUGGUGCGAGAUUGCUAUCGCAGGUGAUUCAUCAGUGA
ensembl:lncRNA